UACGGAGGAUGCAAGCGUUAUCCGGAAUGAUUGGGCGUAAAGCGUCCGCAGGUGGCAAUGUAAGUCUGCUGUCAAAGCGUCUGGCUCAACCAGAUACAGGCAGUGGAAACUACAUAGCUAGAGUAAGGUAGGGGUAGAGGGAAUUCCUGGUGUAGCGGUGAAAUGCGUAGAGAUCAGGAAGAACACCGGUGGCGAAGGCGGCGCCUGGACCAACACUGACACUGAUGAGCGAAAGCCAGGGGAGCAAACGGG
rnacentral:rRNA from 1 species